rnacentral:rRNA from 1 species
AGUGAACGCUGGCGGUAUGCCUAAUACAUGCAAGUCGAACGGCCACAUAGUAAGCUCUUUCUCUUACCGUUAGCGAGUGGCGGACGAGUGAGAAGUACAUCACAUUCUUCUUUUUCUUGGGUAAUUACGUAGGAACAGUUAUGCUACUGCCUCAUACUUCCUACCGGUUAAUGCAGGAGAUCUUCGUGCCUUUCCUGUUUCUAUUAGCCGGUGUCGGAUUAGCUAGUUGGCAUGGUAAGGGCCCACCAAGGCAACGAUCCGUAGCUGGUCUGAGAGGAUGAUCAGCCACACUGGAACUGAGACACGGUCCAGACUCCUACGGGAGGCAGCAGUAGGGAAUAUUGGGCAAUGGGCGAAAGCCUGAUGCAGCAACGCCGCGUGAGUGAAGAAGGCCUUCGGGUUGUAAAACCCUGUUGUUAGGGAAGAAAAGAAGUGGAAGAAAACCCCGAUGUUUUGACGGUACCCAAAGAAAAAGCAACGGCUAACUUCGUG